GGGGUUGUAGCUCAGUGGUAGAGUGUUCUCCUAGCACGUGCGAGACCCUGAGUUGGAUCCUCAGCACCACA
rnacentral:tRNA from 1 species